rnacentral:lncRNA from 1 species
GCUCUCUUGUCUUUGUGGAUUGUAAGGAUGGAAUGGAAUUGAAUUCCCUUCUUCUAACUUUCUCAAGGAAAGAAAAAUCGAGAGAAAGUGAGAGAGGUAAAGACGAAAAUUUUUGAAGCGUACUGUGUGGAUUGUGGUUCGUGGAUUGUGCUUUGGAUGUCUUGGAAGGAAGGUAUUGUGUGGGUGAUGGGUUAAGGUAAUGCUGGGUUUGGUUUGCUGCGCUUUUCACUUGAUUUUUUGUUUUCUUUUGUGUUUUUUUUUUUAAUACUCCUCUUUUUUGAGAAUGAAUAAUU